rnacentral:rRNA from 1 species
UAAAUAUUAUUAUUUUAUGUUGAUUUAAAGUUAAGUUUUUUAAAAAAUUAAUAGGUUUUGUUUUUCAGUAUGAUAAAGAAUUUUAUUUAAAGAUUAUAGCUAAUAAGUACAGUGACGGAAUUAUUUAAUAUUUUAUUAAAGUAGUGUUUGAUUUUCGUACCUUUUGUAUCAGGGGUAAACUAUGUAGUUAUGUUAGUUUUGAGGUCCCGAAACAAGGAGAGUUAAAUUUUAUUGCUUCUCUACGUUGUAAAGUAGUUUGGAAAAGUUUUUAGUGGUGAUAUGUUAGUCGGUCUUUGUAUAUCUGGUUUUUUAUGAAAUGAAUUUAAUUUUUUGCUAGAUCUUAUUGUGGUUUAGUAAGAAGGGUAGGAGGAAUAAGCUUCUUAUCUGAUGUUUUUGUUAAGGACUUCUUUGUAAGUCGUUAUAGGUGGGCUUAAAAUCAGCUAUCUUAGUAUAACGUUAAAGUAAUAAUGAUUUAUAUGUAUAUAUUUUUAAAGUGUCUUGCUAUUUUUAGUAAAAAGUUUCAUUUAUUGUUAAGGUGGAAGAUAUAGUGUUUAUAUAAGUAUGAUUGAAGUUUUUUUUUAAAUCUUGAGUGGAAAAGGUUUUUAAGUAUUAAAAGUCGUUUAAAAGGAACUCGGCAAAUUUUAUCUCCGCCUGUUUAUCAAAAACAUGUCUGUGUGAAUUAGUUAUAAAGUCUAGCCUGCCCACUGAUUGAUUUAAAGGGCCGCGGUAUUUUGACCGUGCGAAGGUAGCAUAGUCAGUAGUCUUUUAAUUGAAGGCUUGAAUGAAAGGUUGGACGAGGGAUAGGCUGUCUCUUUUAUGAGGUUUGAAUUUAACUUUUGAGUGAAAAGGCUCAGAUUGUUUAGUGGGACGAUAAGACCCUAUAAAACUUUAUAUAAAAGUAGUUUGGUUUAUAAUUUAAGUAAAAAGUAACUUUGCUAAAUUUAUAUUUCGUUGGGGAGAUGUAGAUAUAAUGUGUAACUGUCUGUUUAAUUUGAUAAUUGUAGUUAGUGUAUGAUCCUUCUUUGUGGAUUAAAAGUAUAAGUUACUUUAGGGAUAACAGCGUGAUUUUCUUUGAGAGUUCUUAUCGACAAGAUUAGUUGCGACCUCGAUGUUGAAUUAAAGUUUCAGUUAGGUGUAGCCGUCUAUCAGGUGGGUCUGUUCGACCUUUAAAACUUUACAUGAUUUGAGUUCAAACCGGUGUGAGCCAGGUUGGUUUCUAUCUUUUACAGGUUUAAAAAUAGCUUUAGUACGAAAGGAUUGGGCUUUUGGGAUAGUCUUAGUUAUAAGAUAAACUUUAAUGA